GUGGGGGAAACACCAAAACAAACGGCAGUCAGGACCCGGUGCCCGCUCGCCGCAGCCCGCAACCCCUUCGCCAGCCCCCGCCAGCCCCGGCCGCCAGCUACGACCUCGGGCGACCUCGUCUCAGCCAGGCUGGACGAUCGGAAGCCAGGACCGCACGCCGUUCCUGCCUCCGUGGCCGACACCGCCACCUCCACCUCCGCCGCCGCCUCAGCUUACCUUGCCAGCGCAGGCCGCCAUAGUGACUCUGACUGAAACCUACCGGGUGCACCGCCACGGGAACGCGCACCCUUUACAAGGGCCCUCCUCCGCCGUCUCCCGUGCCGUAGUCCGGACGUGUCAUGUGAGUGACGCUGAGGAAGCCAUGUUUGUCACUGGCGGAGAAGUGGGCAAACUCAUUCUUAACGUGCCUCUGGCGCCAUCUUUGUUAAGGGACGGAUGCUUCAACCCUCCAGACAGCCUGAACGACCAUUUUGGUAAAGGGCAAGAGAAACUUUGAGGGGUUGAAUGUUUCAAGAACACACAGCGGUAACUUCCUGGUUCAACUUAUGAACCUGUGCUGAGUCCAGGAGAGACAGAGGAGCGCGCCUUCAUCUCUGCCCGCUAGUUGUGUUACCAGAGUUGUGACUUUCAGACCGAGAGGAUAAAAUAAGGUUUGCUAGACAUCUGUGCAGAACUGAAAAGAAUAUUUUUGGUGCAAGUUGUGGAAGUGGGACGAAGAUAAAUACCAAGAGUAUGUAAGCGCCUCCAGCCAGAUCUGGAAGAAAGGCUAUGAACGAGAAAUGGAUGACCCUUGGUCAGAGCUCCAGGAAAUGGAUAGCAAGAUCCACCCACGGAAAUUUCCCAGACUUUAAAAGGAAACGGACUUGUAACUGACUGUACCGAACUUUGACCUUUGUAGAACUUAGGACGGCGAUAUCAUCAGAUGUUUGUAGAAUUUCUGGAGGACAUAUUUGUGCCGUUCUGAGAGUGAGUUUAGACUGUGAACCUCUUAGAACAGACAUUGGUAAUGGCUAUGUGAAUUGUCAUAUCUGCUUCUUGCAUGCAAAAGUUUGGUAACUUGGUCACAGCCUGACCUCAGGUGUGCUCUUGGGUUUGUGUGACUUCUCUGCAGGAGUAUCAACCACUUCCCAAGGUCAAUUGUAGAAGCAAUGAUGAUGCUCAUCAUUACAGGACAGUGGGUGGGUGGGAAAGAGAACUGUGGCAAAUCCAGAAAUCUGGGGCAGAAAAACAGUAGGAGCUGUUUCUCAAAACACAAUAGCUAUAUUUUGGGUAUUGCCUGAAAUGCAGGGGGAGGGAGAAGUUAUUCUUUGUAGUAAAUGAGCCAUGGGACUCAAGCCAUCAUAAUUUGAGUAUGAAAAGUGACUGUGCCGAAGUAUAGCCUAGUGGCUCACACUCGCCAGCCCCGUGCUCUGAAGGAGGAAGCACAAGGAUCCGGAGUUCAAGCUCAUCCUCAGUUAUAUAAAAGUUUGAGACCAGCUUGAACUACAUGAGACGCUGUCUCAUUAGACAAAAAUAAAUAAGAUUUAUUAUUUACAUUAUAUAAGGAACUUAAACAUCUCUAUAACAAUAAAAUAAAAGCCCACAUUAAAGAUGUGCAACAAAGUUGGGUGUGUAUUUCUCAUGAGAAAACGCACAGAUGGCUAACAAGUAUUUGAGAAAACACUCAACAGUCCUAAUUAUCAAUGAAAUGCAAAAUGAGACUACAGUGAAAUACCACCUUGUCCCCGUUAGACUGGCUAUG